rnacentral:misc_RNA from 1 species
GUUCAAUAAUAACAAGGGGCACAUUUGGUUCACUUCUAAAAUGGGAUUGGAAAUGGUUGUUUCCUAUUCCAAGAUUCUUGUUCCAAUUUCAUUUUUUUAGAUAAUCAAAUAUAAUUUAAUGGAAGUUCUAAAAUUUUAACUUAAGGGCCCUGCUUGUUUCAUGGAAAAAUAUCUUCAUACAUAACAUUUUCCACAUUUCUAGUAUUUGAGGCACUUCAAAGAUUGGUAAGUGAAAAAUGUUUUCCUAACAAGAAAACUAAGCCAUUUUCCAGACUAUUACCAACUCACAAAUCACAAAAAGACAAUAAUGUAUAAGGAAACUAUAAAAGCACAUGUUGACUAGUCCACAAACCACUGCUAAUUGCCUAUGACAAGCACA